UAGAUGUCAUGAGGAAAUUCUUCACUCAAGAGUGUGGUGAGGCACUGGAACAGGUUGCCCAGAGAAGUUGUGGAUUCCCCAUCCCUGGAGGUGUUCAAGACCAGGUUGGAUGAGGCCCAGGGCAACCUGAUUUGGUGGGUGGUAUCCCUGCCUGUGGCAGGGGAUGGGGGGAUGGAACUAGAUGAU